rnacentral:misc_RNA from 1 species
AACAUCGCGCACCUGCGGGAACCUGCGGAGGGAUCAUUACUGAGUUAGGGUCUUUCUGGCCCGACCUCCAACCCUGUGUUUAUUAUACCAUGUUGCUUUGGCGGGCCCGCCCUUCGGGGCUGCCGGGGGCGCUACUGUCCCUGACCCGUGCCCGCCAGGAGCCUUCCUUAAAUUCUGUGUUCAAUUGUGCUGUCUGAGUCCCAGUAACAAAAUAUCAAAAACUUUCAACAACGGAUCUCA